ensembl:lncRNA
CAGUCCCCGCGCCGGCGUCCGCGCCCUCGCGCCGCAGCAGCAGCAGCAUCCCGAGACCCCGGCCUGGCCGCGCCUCUUCGAGCCCUCAGCCUGCGUCUCCUUCGCCCGCCGCGUCUCCGCCGCCGCCGCCGCCAUUCCUGGCGCCCAGACCGCCGCGGAGGAAGCGCCCCAGACUCUGCAUCUGACAGAGGGAGGAAACCGAGACCUGGUUGCUGAAAUGUCUGCCCGCACUGAGGAUUAGCCCAGCUACAGAAUAACUCCAGUUUGGCCUCCGGUCACAAUUGAGACUUCAGUGAUCCAGUGAUGCUGUGAUUCUCCAGGACAAGAAACAUCCUGGGAGAACAAACAUCUGCUCAGAUCCUCAUUGUUCUUGGACUGUUAACAUCUUGUUUGCCGGAGAUGUACUGAACUCUCUGCAAGCCUUCCGUUACACCUUGUUUAUCCCAAUGUGAACUAUUGAACUCUCUGCAAGUCAUUUGUUACAUUUGUUUCUCCCGAUGUACUGAAUAAAAGGUGUGGUAAGCUGGGGGCUUUGUCUUUGCUGCCCAGAGCAGCACUGAUCGGGCCCAAAGCUCAGCUUCUUCUCAGUCUCAUUUUUCUACCUUUCCUGUAAUUCGCCGUGUGCUGUCGUGGCUCGCAGGAGACCAGGACUCACUGCAGAGGUUCUGGUAACGUCCCCUUCCCCUGUCCGCUACAGGUGACGGCCAUGUUCACAUGGAGAAGACCUCUGAGACCUUAUCUCAGGCUGAAUGGAAGGCUUCGGUGGUUCUGUUACAUCACCAAAAAAACUCAAGACAUAAAAAACUCCCCAGCUUUCAAAUCAUUUGAAGAAAAGGUUGAAAACUUUAAAGUCUAAAGUAGAGGGAUCCAAGCCUGCUGGUGGUAUUUUUGGAGAAGUCUUAAAUUCAACUGUGAAUGUUAGUGCCACCUCCAGAUAGGCACAGUAGAGCCUGUCAGAUUCCUGCCUUUGUUCUGCUGCCCACUACCAGAUGCUGCAAGGAAGAUCCAAGCACAUCUUGUCAACAUUCAUUGCUGGGGAUUUCUACCAGAUGUGCUUUUAUUUAGUGUCAUAUUUCUUUGACCAAAUAGUUUGUGAAUUAAAAGGAAAAUAUCUUCAUGUCUACUCCCAGGAAGCACCCUGAAUGUGCAUUUAAGGUCCUUUAUUUAGGGAAAUACUAUUUCACAGACACAGGUAAUGCUAGAGACAUUUGCUAGACUGAUCUGAGAAGCUGCAUGUGACUAUAGUUGCUUUCCCACUGUACAUAAUUGCUCUGUAUCUGAGGCACUAAUACUUGCAUGUGUCUUCUAGAUGAGAGUCAAAGAAGGGAAAAAAAUCAUCUUGCAGCAUCUGGCAGUGGGCAGCGGAACAAAGGCAGGAACUUCUAGGGAAGACAGGCAUCACUUCUGUCAUAACUGGUGCACAGCCAGAUGCAGGAACAUGGGGCCCCUCUACAAGGUGUGGAAGGUGUGGAAGGGACAUUUAGCACUUUACCAGUGUGGGCGAGGUGGCCACAUCUGACCAGCUUUGCUGGUCUGAAGGUCUGUCCAGGACACAUUCCUGGUUCUCACAGGCAAGAGCCCAAGACAGCGGCUGUGUCUCACUGUGGUCAUGCAGCACCCUCCCUGCCCAUGAGGACCCCUCUGUGCCGUGUUACUGGGUGGCGUGUGUGUUCCCUUCUGAGCUUCAGGGGCUUAGGUCACUUACACAAAGGUGAAUCUUGUGAUGACACCACUGUGCCCAUGAGCAUGCAGAUAUCUGAGUCCCUGCUUCCUCUGUGUGCAAUCCCUGGAUCCCAUGAUAAUUCUGUGAGGACCUUCAUACCUUUUUUGCAGUUUUCACACCAUUUUGCAUUCCAACCGGCAAUGUACAAGAGUUCAUUUUUUCCCCUUCCUCAUCAAGACAGUUUUUCUGGUAAUGGCCACCCUGCUGGGUAUGAGGUAGUCAGUUCUGCUUUUUAACUAAAGCUUCAGUGUGGACACAUGGGCCAUUUUCACUAAACAUCAUUCUCUUGGGGCACUGAGUCCUUUCCAUGCUCGAGAUCUGCAAGUCCCCAGGGCUGUGCCCCUGCCCUGGGGAUCAGAGCCUUGCAGUGGGCCACGCAGGAUGAGCUGAUGGCCCUGGUUGCUCCUGAGGGCAAAGAGCUCUGGACAGGUUCCUGGCCUUCCUGCUGCACCUGCAUUUAUUUCUCCUCUGACUUCGCAGUCCUCACUGUCUUGGAUUGUCCUCACCAGUUGUCAGCCUCUUGCCCUUGGUCUUGGCUCCUGAGUCGCCAGGGGUCUAGGUGUGAGCACCAGCCCAGCAGAGAUGCAUGGAGGAGCUGCCUGCUCAGUGUGGUUGCUGUCCACCAUCUGCCUGACCAGUGCCUGACAUUGGCUCUCAGUGCACUUCAUUAUGGUUGCGCAAAGCUUGUGUGCAGUUUGCAGCUAGGUACUUGUGUGAGGUUAUUCAUCCCUGUGUCCCUGAGACCUCUAGACUGAGCAGGGACAGUGCCUGGCCUUGGGUAGCACCCGGUGAGUCGCUUUGUAGGUGCUGGGCAGAGGCAUGGAUAAAGCAGGGCAUGGCAGAGCCGAUGGUUCAUCUCUUUCCUUUCCAUCUUUGGGUUCUAAUGGGCCUUCAGUUUGUUUGAGGCUCAUAUUCCAGCCACUUAGAAACUUAGCAUCCAAGGUUGAAGAGAACCUUUUUCUUCCACAAGGUGGGGUCUCAUCAUGUUGCCCAGGCUGGUUGGUGUUGAACUUGUGGGCUCAAACCAUCCUUCUCUCUCAGCCACCUGAGUAGCUGGACUGUAGGCGUGUGCCACCAUGCCUGGCUGGAGAGGACCUUUGGCUUGUUAGACAGCCAGCUCCUUGGCAGCAGGGCUGACUCAUCCCAGUUAUUGAGUACUUUAGAGUUAAUCAGGAAGUGACAGUCAAGUGAAAGGUGACAUCCAAGGCAGCCAGCACCUAUAGGCUGCUGCUGGAGCGGUAUCCUGGGUGGCAGUUCUGCCCCUGGCCAGGACCCAUUCCCCAGUGGCUAGAGUUGUUGAGGGAUGGGCCUCAGUGACAGCAAUGGUGCACACAGUGACUGCAGGGCCACCUGGCCAUGGUUUCUCCAGCUGGUUUUGCGUCACCUGUUUGUUGUAGCCUCUGUGGGCCUCUGCUUUGAAGCUUGGAGUUUAAGUCUUGCAGAGACUGUGGUGAGCAUGGGCCUGCAGCAGGUGGCUCUGCUUGGUGAGCAGCACUGUGCUCAGGCACUCUCCCAGUGCACAGGGGCUGCCUGCAGACCAAGUCAGUGGCUGCCAGAGCCCCAGGAGCUGUGUGGACUCAGGUUCCCUUAGGCCACAAGGACAGCCACUUCCUUUCCCCUCCCAACAGUUUCUUCAGAGAAAAGGUCACUCUAGAAAGAGCAAAAUGUCCAGCUGAAGAAAGUUGUUUGUUAAGUGACUGCUCUUGAAAAGGUUAAACAAUCUCAUUAAAUGCUUAGUAAAUAACCCAAGUCAUUCCAUGGUAGUGAAUUUUAAUAUUACUACAAAUAUUAGGAGCUGAUGUUUUUGUCCCUAGUGGUAUUAAGUAUAAUCUGGACAUCUGUGGACACCAGCUCCACCUUAUAGACAGAAACCAAGCUGGGCCUGGGUCACAUAGUUGGUACCAGUCCUCCCAGUGCUGGAACCUAGGUCCUACCAUUUAACUGACUCUCUUUAGGGGACUAACGGGGCAGAACUAAUCAGAGCAGAAAUGCAGAGGUAUGCAGGUAAAUUGAGGCACAGGCCCACCAGUGAUAACAGUAUAGGUGAACCAGAGGUCAUAUGGGGGGAUAAGGUGUGGAUCCCAGUCUGGCUAAGGUAGAUGGGGAUAUGGCAGGGAUGUGCUGCAGGGGGAUUCAGGCCAUCUCUCCCUUUUCAAGAACAAUGUUGAAAAAUACCUGCAGUGAAAUAAUUAGAAUAUACAGGAAAGCCCAAGAAGAACUUUAAACAGUUCCUAAAAUUCUAGUGCCUAGAACCAAGUGCCACUGGUGUUUUGGUGUCCCUCCUUGUGGAGGUCAUCCUGCUGUGUGUGUGGUGGCAUCUUGGCCAGCCCUGGUGCUCCCAGCUCUGAGACCCAGCCUUGCUCUCCUGGGCAGCCUGCAGGUCAGGAAUCCUGGUGGAAAUCCAUCCCAUCUGGGUCCUUCCCGGAUCCUGAUGCUCAUGACUGUGUUUACAUGAACAAGCCUACACUUAAGUGCGGAUUUAUCAUCUCUUCUUUGCACUUAAUAAUAGACUGUGUUCAUCUUUCUUUGCCAAGAACAUCGCCUUGCCUGGUGUGUAUAGCUUGCAUUAUGUGCUGUGCUGUUGUUUAACCCAUUGCUGAUGGGCACACAAUGGAUGAGCUGAGCAAUUUGUUGUUGUUGUUGUUGCAAUACUAAGGACUGAAUCCAGGGCCUUCACACUGCUACAUCUGCGUUUUUUAAAUUUUGAGACAGGGUUUUACUAAGUUGCCAGUUUGCGCAAACUGGGUUUGAACUUUCAGUCUUUCUGCCUUUGCCUCCCAGAGUGUUGAGAUUACUGGCUUGGGUCACCACACUUGGCUGGGUGAUUGGUUUUUACUGUGAAGGCACCUUGGAGAUAAAUGUUCCUGAGCAGCCCUUUGAACUGGUGGGGUUGCAUGCCUGAGCCCAGCAGGCUCCUUACACAGCUGAGACCCGUUUCUGCUCUCUCCCGGGAGCCAUAAUUUUGGGGGCCCUCUCUGCUUUGGAAAAUGGCAGCCUGUUUGCCGUUGGCACUCUGGCAGCAUCACAGCACCAUGUGUCCCAUUGAGAGCUGGGGACAUUGAGCCUGCCUGACAGGUGGGGCCCAUGACCCUCAGCGCAGGUGUGUGUGAUGCAGCUGUGCAGAGGGACAAGCAUGCUCUAGCGGCUCAAUGGAGGAGAGAUGCAGGCAGGCUGUGCUGGGCAAGCUGGGGCAAGUGCGUCUUGUUUCUGGCUGUAAGUUGGGAAACUACUGCUGAAAACUUCCUGUGGUUCUGAGAUUCUGUGAUGUAUGUCCUGACCUGUGAGUAAGCCCCAGCCUGUUCUCCCCAGCCAGACCUGUUGCAGCCCCUCUCCCUGCAGAGCUGUGCAGUCACGGCAGAGCUGCCACUUUGCCUGAAUUACUCAUUGCUUUUCCUCCUCGCCUGAGCAGGUGUCUGCCGUGUCGAGGGGGAGGGUGCACCCUCUCCUUUCUCCUGUGAGUGAAUUGAAGGCUUCCUGGCAAGGAGAGCCUGUGAAAUGGCCAUGGUGAGUGGCUCCUGGGGGUAGAUGGGGUGAGAACAGGCCGCACUGCCAGCAGCCCUGUGGGAACUGAGCUGGGGAGCUGUGGUGGCUGUGGGUAGUCUAGGAUGGACCAGCUGCCUGUGAUCUGAGACUGAGACUGAGUGUGGAAGGGGCCCCACCCUGAGGGCUGAGUCCAUCCUCUCUUCACAGCACUGGGCCUCGGGACCCAAGCAGAACCAGAGGGACACAGAGGGCAGAACCUGGGGUCAGCUCUGUGCUGGCUGCUGAUAGGAGUGGAAAGGAAGAGGACAGAGCUUUGUGCUUUUCUGUAUACAUUUAUCCCUAGGUAUCUGCAGAGACCACUUCAGAAGCACACCCCCUCUCCAGGGCAGAGGCCAAAAUCCCGGAUGUUCAGUUGCCUUGCAGAACGUGGUGCAUGUAACCUGCCUAUAUCCUCUUGUAUACUUUCAACCAUUUCUAGGUGACUUCUGAUACCUCACACAGUGCAAAUGCUGUGUAAAUAGGUAUUGUAUUAUUUAGGGAAUAAUGACCAAAAAGUCUACUUGUUUAGCACAAACAAUUUUAUUUUAGAUAUUUUCCAUCUGCAGCUGGUUGAAUCCCCAGGCAUGGAACCCAUGGAUGCAGAGUCUAGCUGCAUUUCUGUGCAGCUGGUCCAUG